rnacentral:misc_RNA from 1 species
GUUGGAAGCAUGCUUGGACCUUGAGUGAGAGCUAAGGUGCAGAUAUAGCUGUUGACCACAUGAAUACCACAGAGGAAUUUGGCUACGAGUAAUGUUUGCUGAAAUGCUUCUUUGAUAAAAGGCGUCAAUUGCUUCAGAUUUUUCAGACCCAUUAUUAGUCAAUCUGCAUCUCAACCCUAAAGAGGCUAUCUCACCAAUUAAAAUGGAUGACAGAAUCAGGCGAAAGAGUACCACAGUAACCCCGACCUCUACUCGACGGCG